rnacentral:rRNA from 1 species
CACGCCGUAAACGUUGAGAACUAAGUGUUGGGGAGACCCAGUGCUGAAGCUAACGCAUUAAGUUCUCCGCCUGAGGAGUACGCACGCAAGUGUAAAACUUAAAGGAAUUGACAGGGGCCCGCACAAGCAGUGGAGCAUGUGGUUUAAUUCGAGGCUACGCGAAGAACCUUACCAGGGCUUGACAGGAAACUUAAGACCCUAGAGAUAGGGGGAUAAUAAGUGAAACAGGUGG